rnacentral:rRNA from 1 species
UGGGGAAUAUUGCACAAUGGGCGAAAGCCUGAUGCAGCAACGCCGCGUGAGUGAUGACGGCCUUCGGGUUGUAAAGCUCUGUCUUUGGGGACGAUAAUGACGGUACCCAAGGAGGAAGCCACGGCUAACUACGUGCCAGCAGCCGCGGUAAUACGUAGGUGGCAAGCGUCGUCCGGAUUUACUGGGCGUAAAGGGUGCGUAGGCGGACCUUUAAGAGAGAUGUGAAAUCCCCGAGCUUAACUUGGGGGCUGCAUUUCAAACUGGAGGUCUAGAGUGCAGGAGAGGAGAGUGGAAUUCCUAGUGUAGCGGUGAAAUGCGUAGAGAUUAGGAAGAACACCAGUGGCGAAGGCGACUCUCUGGACUGUAACUGACGCUGAGGCGCGAAAGCCAGGGGAGCAAACGG